rnacentral:rRNA from 1 species
UACGUAGGGUGCAAGCGUUAAUCGGAAUUACUGGGCGUAAAACGUGCGCAGGCGGUCUUGCAAGACAGAUGUGAAAAUCCCCGGGCUUAACCUGGGAACUGCAUUUGUGACUGCAAGGCUGGAGUGCGGCAGAGGGGGAUGGAAUUCCGCGUGUAGCAGUGAAAUGCGUAGAUAUGCGGAGGAACACCGAUGGCGAAGGCAAUCCCCUGGGCCUGCACUGACGCUCAUGCACGAAAGCGUGGGGAGCAAACAGG